rnacentral:rRNA from 1 species
GCAUAUCAAUAAGCGGAGGAAAAGAAACCAACAGGGAUUGCCUCAGUAACGGCGAGUGAAGCGGCAACAGCUCAAAUUUGAAAUCUGGCCCUAGGCCCGAGUUUGUAAUUUGCAGAGGAUGUUUCUGGCGAGGUGCCUUCCGAGUUCCCUGGAACGGGACGCCAUAGAGGGUGAGAGCCCCGUACGGUUGGUCGCUAAGCCUCUGUGAAACUCCUUCGACGAGUCGAGUAGUUUGGGAAUGCUGCUCUAAAUGGGAGGUAUACGUCUUCUAAAGCUAAAUACCGGCCAGAGACCGAUAGCGCACAAGUAGAGUGAUCGAAAGAUGAAAAGCACUUUGAAAAGAGGGUUAAAUAGUACGUGAAAUUGUUGAAAGGGAAGCGCUUAUGACCAGACUUGGACCGGUUGAUCAUCCAUCGUUCUCGGUGGUGCACUCUGCCGGUUCAGGCCAGCAUCAGUUUGUCCCGGGGGAUAAAGGCUUUGGGAAUGUGGCUCUUCGGAGUGUUAUAGCCCAUUGCGUAAUACCCUGGGAUAGACUGAGGUUCGCGCUCCGCAAGGAUGCUGGCGUAAUGGUCAUCAGUGACCCGUCUUGAAACACGGACCAAGGAGUCGUCUUCGUAUGCGAGUGUUCGGGUGUCAAACCCCUACGCGUAAUGAAAGUGAACGUAGGAGAGAGCUUCGGCGCAUCUCCGACCGAUCCUGAUGUUCUCGGAUGGAUUUGAGUAAGAGCAUACGGGGCCGGACCCGAAAGAAGGUGAACUAUGCUUGUAUAGGGUGAAGCCAGAGGAAACUCUGGUGGAGGCUCGCAGCGGUUCUGACGUGCAAAUCGAUCGUCAAAUAUGAGCAUGGGGGGCGAAAGACUAAUCGAAACCUUUCUAGUAGCUGGUUUCCGCCGAAG